UUCUUAUUGAAUGAUGACUGUCAGGUGUCAUGUUCUGAUUGGAUGUCAACUCCAUGAAAGAUGAAAUGCAUUGUUGUUUUCAUUGACCAAUCAGAACAUGACAUGUGAUAGGUAUGAUCC
rfam:Glycine soja cultivar W05 scaffold128_2, whole genome shotgun sequence.